CACGGGGGGAGCAAGCGUUGUUCGGAAUCACUGGGCGUAAAGGGCGUGUAGGCGGUCAAGUAAGUGGAAUGUGAAAUGCCCCGGCUCACCCGGGGACCUGCAUCCCAAACUGCUUGGCUUGAGUAUGGGAGAGGAUGAGGGAAUUCCUGGUGUAGCGGUGAAAUGCGUAGAUAUCAGGAGGAACACCGGUGGCGAAGGCGCUCAUCUGGCCCAAUACUGACGCUGAGGCGCGAAAGCUAGGGGAGCAACGGG
rnacentral:rRNA from 1 species